rnacentral:piRNA from 1 species
UGACACACAUGGUUAACUUAGUGAG